AUUGAACGCUGGCGGCAGGCCUAACACAUGCAAGUCGAACGGUAACAGGAAGCAGCCUGCUGCUUUGCUGACGAGAGGCGGACGGGUGAGAAAUGUCUGGGAAACUGUCUUAUGUAGGGGGGUAACUACUGGAAACGGUAGCUAAUACCGCACAUCGUCCCAAGACCAAAGAGCGGGACAUCCUGGCACCUUGCCAUCGUAUGUGCCCAGAUGGGAUUAGCUAGUAGGUGGGGUAACGGCUCACCUAGGCGACGAUCCCUAGCUGGUCUGAGAGGAUGACCAGCCACACUGGAACUGAGACACGGUCCAGACUCCUACGGGAGGCAGCAGUGGGGAAUAUUGCACAAUGGGCGCAAGCCUGAUGCAGCCAUGCCGCGUGUAUGAAGAAGGCCUUCGGGUUGUAAAGUACUUUUAUCGGGGAGGAAGGGCAUCAAGUUAAUACCCUUGCUCAUUGACGUUACCCGAAGAAGAAGCACCGGCUAACUCCGUG
rnacentral:rRNA from 1 species